rnacentral:rRNA from 1 species
AACAAUACAAGGCAGUUAAAAUGCUUUGUAAUUGGAAUGAUAGAAAUUUAAACCCUUUUUAAAGUAUCAAUUGGAGGGCAAGUCUGGUGCCAGCAGCCGCGGUAAUUCCAGCUCCAAUAGCGUAUAUUAAAAUUGUUGCAGUUAAAAAGCUCGUAGUUGAAGUUCUGCUAAAAGUAACCGGUCUGCUUUUAAUAAAGGUGGUAUCUUGGUGUGUAUUUAGCAAUGAUGUCCUUUGAAGUGUUUUUUACUUUAUUGUAAUAAAGCAUAUUCAGGACUUUUACUUUGAGAAAAUUAGAGUGUUUCUAGCAGGCUGACGCUUUGAAUACUGCAGCAUGGAAUAAUAAGAUAGGAUUUUAGUUCUACAUUAUUGGUUUUAAGAGCUAAAUUAAUGAUUGAUAGGGACAGUUGGGGGCAUUUGUAUUUAACUGUCAGAGGUGAAAUUCUUAGAUUUGUUAAAGACAAACUACUGCGAAAGCAUUUGCCAAAGAUGUUUUCAUUAAUCAAGAACGAAAGUUAGGGGAUCGAAGACGAUCAGAUACCGUCGUAGUCUUAACUAUAAACUAUGCCGACUAGAGAUUGGAGGUCGUCUUUAUAAAA